rnacentral:lncRNA from 1 species
GGCCGGGCUGUGAAAGAGAAAACACCCUCUCUUCAGUCUAGGCCAUUCAAAACCUGUUUAAAUCUGCAUGCACAUUUCCUGGUUUGAAAGGGAGAGUAAACAAAGCUUUUGUUUGGGGGUGGUUUUGUUUGUUUGCUUGUUUGUUUUCCUUUUUUAGUCAAGUGUUUUACUGAGCACAAAAGAUUGUAUUUUAAUAUACUGUUUCAAAAGAAUCCCUCCCUUAGGUUUACAGGGAUAACUGAAGUGAGAUAGAUGAUCAUAAUCAACUUUGCUACAUGUAACAGAAAAAAAAAAAAAAGGAAAAGGAAGGUGGAUUUCUUACUGAACGUUGUGGGAGAGAUUGUGUUGCAGCGUUGAUGUCUAUGCUGUAUAUAAACGACUUAGCAGAGACUGUCCUGUCCUGUCCUGUCCUACAGGGAUGGGUUUCAAAUGUGAAUGAGCAAAGGACAUGAAAUGUCUACAUCAGAAGUAAGCUGUAUUAGUGCAGAUAUUUGACAGAUCUAUAUAUGUUUCUUUUCCUUAGAAUGAUGAAAACCUGCAAUGGGCUACUGAGUUAUAAGGGAUCCAUUAGGUAAGGAGAACAGAAGAGGAUAAAUAUUAUCAAACUACAUGAUAAGCAUCUAACACGGAUACUAGAAGACCAUUAUUUUGUACAACCGCAAAAACAACAUCUUUAUAAAUGCUUUUACCUACAUAAUCAGUUGGAUUAGUUUCCCCUCUAACAGUAAUUAUUUUUUGUUUAGGUUUGAGCUAUUUGAAAUGUUUCCAGGAGAGCAAAGUUUCUGCCUUUCCUGUUUCCCAUGGAUAUAACCUGACACGUCGUUUAGGGUUUAGUUAGUUCUCCCCCUCCAGGUCUCAUUUGGUAAACAUUACAUAAAUUUUUAUCAAGCUGUGUUUUCCAUACCGUUACGUUAUUAACUUGAGAUUUCAUUUCCACUUCAAAGGGCACUGGAACAUUUGUAUGUGUGACAUUUUCUUUGCAAUAUCUUUCUGUCCCAACAAUAUCAGUGAUAUUACUUACACAAGUCUGUGUGUUAUAGUCACUAUUCAUCUGGAAGGAAAUGAAAAACAAAACACCUAAUCAUACGAUUGCAAACUCACAUUCAUUUUUCUGGUUUACAUGAAAUCGUUUAAGAAACGUAAAGGCUAAGUGAGCAUAUAGUAUAAUUCGCUAUAUCUGAACAAUAUAAUUAAUAGUGAUCAUUGUGAAUAACUUUAAUAUUGUAAUCAUAAAGGCUGUUCACUUUAAUACUUUACGAAACAUUUCCCGCAAGGAACUGUGAACUCUCCAGCGUCAGCAGACAAGUUACCAAGUGCUCUUCCUUUGUGCUCUUCAGGAGUUUGUCCAACGCGACAAUAAACGCUGCCAUCAGUUUCCCCAUCCAGCUGGUCUACCACCCCAGCUUGUCUCUAAUGGCUUGCUUGUACCGUUUCUAAAUACUGUUUGGAGUAUUCAAAAGUCAUAUAAAAAUAAAGGAAGCCUGAAU